rnacentral:rRNA from 1 species
UACGUAGGCAGCAAGCGUUGUUCGGAGUUACUGGGCGUAAAGAGUAUGUAGGCGGUGUCCUAAGUUCGGUGUGAAAUCUCCCGGCUCAACUGGGAGGGUGCGCCGAAGACUGGGAUGCUGGAGUCUCGGAGAGGAACGCGGAAUUCCUGGUGUAGCGGUGAAAUGCGUAGAUAUCAGGAGGAACACCGGUGGCGAAGGCGGCAUCCUGGACCGGUAUUGACGCUGAGGCGCGAAAGCCAGGGGAGCAAACGGG